UGCAUAUAUACAUAACGGAAUACUAUUUAGUCAUAAAAAGAAUAAAAUCAUGUCAUUUGCAGCAACAUGGAUGGAACUGGAAGUCAUUAUGUUAAAUGGAAUCAGCUAGCCACAGAAAGACAAAUAGCACACAUGGGAGCUAUAAAAAAGCUGACUGAUGUUAUCCUUGUGAAAUAAACCUUGGGAAAAAAAUCUCCUGAUUGAUGGAAUGGAACAUAGCCCCCAGGAAACCUACAAGGACAUAUAAUGUGAGCAAGAAGUAUCCUAUGGUUGUUUGAAGUUACUGAGCUAUAGGGACUCUUUUUUACUGCAGCAUAAUGCCACCUAUCAUGAUGAAUAACAUAAACCCAAAGUUUUCCGUGUUUUAGGGUCAUCUUUGUUAUAUUAUUUCCAUGUAAAGAUCAUUGACAUGAUAGCUCUAGACAAUUAUGUAUAAACACCACAAUCUAAUAUGGAAAAAAUCUUAACAAUAAUCCAUAAUUCAGUCUGUAUCAUAUUUUCUGCCUCUCUUUCAUAUCUCAUGUAACUUAUAAAAAUGUACACCUAUGUACCCAUAAAAAAUAAAAUAUAAAAUAAAAGUAGUUAAUUGGAAAAAUUAAAGAAAAU
rnacentral:lncRNA from 10 species